rnacentral:rRNA from 1 species
ACCCAGACUCCUACGGGAGGCAGCAGUGGGGAAUAUUGCACAAUGGGGGAAACCCUGAUGCAGCAACGCCGCGUGAGUGAAGAAGUAUUUCGGUAUGUAAAGCUCUAUCAGCAGGGAAGAAGAUGACGGUACCUGAGUAAGAAGCCCCGGCUAACUACGUGCCAGCAGCCGCGGUAAUACGUAGGGGGCAAGCGUUAUCCGGAUUUACUGGGUGUAAAGGGAGCGUAGACGGUGAGACAAGUCUGAAGUGAAAGCCCGGGGCUCAACCCCGGGACUGCUUUGGAAACUGCCUGACUGGAGUGCUGGAGAGGCAAGCGGAAUUCCUAGUGUAGCGGUGAAAUGCGUAGAUAUUAGGAGGAACACCGGCGGCGAAGGCGGCCUGCUGGACCGUAACUGACGUUGAGGCUCGAAAGCGUGGGGAGCAAACAGGAUUAGAUACCCCCGUA